rnacentral:rRNA from 1 species
UACGUAGGGGGCGAGCGUUGUCCGGAAUUAUUGGGCGUAAAGCGCGCGCAGGCGGUCCUUUAAGUCAGGCGUUUAAGCCCGGGGCUCAACCCCGGUACGCGCCUGAAACUGGGGGACUUGAGUGCAGGAGAGGAGAGCGGAAUUCCACGUGUAGCGGUGAAAUGCGUAGAGAUGUGGAGGAACACCAGUGGCGAAGGCGGCUCUCUGGUCUGUAACUGACGCUGAGGCGCGAAAGCGUGGGGAGCAAACAGG